GAAGUACCAAAAACUAAGCUUCUAACUUAGAACAAAGCAUAAAUAUGUUUAUACUUCU
rnacentral:tRNA from 1 species